GAGGGUGUAGCUCCAAAGGACAGAGCGGCAGGCCUGCUAAGUCUGCGUCACAGUAAAUGGCCGUCUUGAAAAACGGUUGUGCGGGUAAAAACCCCGUCAUCCUCGCCA
rnacentral:tRNA from 1 species